rnacentral:lncRNA from 13 species
GAAUGACAUUCUGCAGUAAGACCUGUCAUGAAUAUUGCUGAGAGACACAGAGUAUAAUUCCUACCUUAAACUUAAAUUAUAAAACUCUCAAGGAUGUUCUCAAAUAACAUUGGAUAAAUCUAUGCUAUGUCAUUGGAAGACAAAUACUUCUAAAGUAUAUUACACUGUUGUCACCAUUAUUUUUUUUUAUUUGUGAGUAUGUAUAAGGGUUGCUUUAAAACCAAUUUCAAAAUAAAUGAAAAUUGAUACAAAGAAUCCUAAUCAUGAAAUUACUUUUACCUUAAACGUUUCCACAGUUUUUUUUCCUCUCUUUUUUUUUUUCAAGUUGGCUGACUAGGGAUGUUGGAUGCCAGCUCUCCUCAGAAAGAUCAAAGUUACAGGUGAAUGGUCAUGAUUUAAAUGGAAAUAUGAGGAAAUGGAGCAAGGUCCUGUUGGAGCACUCAUGAGAGGAGCCAGGAGCACAAAAGAGGAAAGCAACAAGAGACUGGCAGAGAUUGAUUCUCUAGAAACUUGGACCAUGAAAAGGGGUUGGACUGCGCAAUCUAUGCUGAAGCUGGUUGGCUAACUUGAAAUGUGUGGGAAUGCGAUGACACCAGUGGGAGAGCAGUGGGAAGGAGAGAAGACCAUGCUAAAUAUUACUCUUGGAAAAGUACAUGUGCUGCAGAGAAAUCUUUAUUCGUAGGCCUAUAACAGGAAGGAGCAACAGCAUCUUCUGUGUGCCAAAGUAGCACAAUAAUGAACGCUGUUCAAGUGGAUCAAAAGUCAUCAAGUUCAAAAUUAGGCACAGGUAAGGCAAGACUUUUCUGGUAGAAAUGUUAUCAGUCCAUUCUAUUCUGGUAGAAAUGUUAUCAGUACAUUGCUAUAAAUGCCUGACACUGGG